rnacentral:rRNA from 1 species
AAUCGGAUCUCAGAUUAGGUAAGACUACCCGCUGAAUUUAAGCAUAUAAUUAAGCGGAGGAAAAGAAACUAACAAGGAUUCCCCC